CAUAGAAUUAAACAAAUGACGUAGAAUUAUAACUUUUAUCAUCCCAACAAAUGACGUUCUAAUGCUGAAAUUUAAAUGGAUAAGCCAAAUUAAUAGAGCAAUCAUGUUUGAAGGUCUGUAAAUAUCAAGAUGUGCAAAUUUCUUGCUUUAGAGCCAUCACUAUUAGCCCUAAAGUUUCAGCAAAUAUACCCAUGUGAUCAACUGAUAAUCACAAGUCGAGCACCCAGGAGCAAAAUCUUCUAUAUCUAUUGUAUAACCUGAAACAUAAAAGCAACAGUAUCAAAAAGUUAAGAAUUAACCUGUUUGAAGAGCACUUCUCCAGAAAAUGCAUGAUGUGCCUCCACUCAUUGCGGUGGAGAGGCCACGUGUAGUCGUCACCUUUCUCACGUGCCACACACCCAGUGACGCCUCCGCCCAUAUAGUACAGUUUCGGCCUCGUUUUACCAAACACCUUUUGGUUUGGCCGAAAAACGAGUUUGUAUGUUUGGGCAAUUGGGAAAAAACUUGAUCCGGUCGAUUUGGAAUUGAUUUUUGGUCUAGAAACUUCCACACUUGCUUCAAUACUAGAUCGUAGCGGAAUAUUUGAUCACUAAUGGUUUUUUUGAGCUUAGUAUCAAUCCAACCAAUCAACACCUCAAAGAAAUCGACCCAAAUCCACCCAACUAUCCCGACUUCGGUUGCUUUAGUAUUACCUACUUAGGACACAAGGUAAGGGAGUUAUUGCAGCCACGAAGACAUUUACAAAGUCAGAGAAAGAAACCUGACGACUUCUUCCUUCUUUUCUUGCUUUGCUAUCGCUUUAGUAGUCAAGAAUACCUCUUUCUUUUUGAAUGAAGAAGGCACGCUAAAGUAAAGCACAAAGCCAAGUGCCAUUUCACAAAGAAGGAGAGGCAAUAACAAACGGUCACACAAAAGCAAUGGAGGCAGUAAUGUAUAAUUAGGUAUAGUGAUGGGCCAAGCCUAAUAAAGAACCGAUAAGUGGGCCAAUCACUAAAUGGGUCGACACUUAUAAGCUG
rnacentral:lncRNA from 1 species